UACGUAGGGUGCAAGCGUUAAUCGGAAUUACUGGGCGUAAAGCGUGCGCAGGCGGUUUUGUAAGUCUGACGUGAAAUCCCCGGGCUUAACCUGGGAAUUGCGUUGGAGACUGCAAGGCUAGAAUCUGGCAGAGGGGGGUAGAAUUCCACGUGUAGCAGUGAAAUGCGUAGAGAUGUGGAGGAACACCGAUGGCGAAGGCAGCCCCCUGGGUCAAGAUUGACGCUCAUGCACGAAAGCGUGGGUAGCAAACAGG
rnacentral:rRNA from 1 species